rnacentral:rRNA from 1 species
AGUUGCCAUCAGGUAAUGCUGGGAACUCUAAGGAGACAGCCUGUGAUAAGCAGGAGGAAGGUGGGGAUGACGUCAAGUCAUCAUGGCUCUUACGUCCUGGGCUGCAAACGUGCUACAAUGGCUGGUACAAAGGGUUGCGAUACCGCGAGGUGGAGCCAAUCCCAAAAAACCAGUCUCAGUUCGGAUUGGAGUCUGCAACUCGACUCCAUGAAGGUGGAAUUGCUAGUAAUCGCGGAUCAGCAUGCCGCGGUGAAUACGUUCCCGGGUCUUGNACACA